rnacentral:rRNA from 1 species
UACAGAGGUCCCAAGCGUUGUUCGGAUUCACUGGGCGUAAAGGGUGCGUAGGUGGCCAGGUAAGUCUGAUGUGAAAUCUCCGAGCUCAACUCGGAAAUGGCAUUGGAAACUAUCUGGCUAGAGGGUCGGAGGGGGGACUGGAAUUCUCGGUGUAGCAGUGAAAUGCGUAGAUAUCGAGAGGAACACCAGUGGCGAAGGCGAGUCCCUGGACGACUCCUGACACUGAGGCACGAAAGCUAGGGGAGCAAACAGG